rnacentral:rRNA from 1 species
AGUUCGGAUUGUAGUCUGCAACCCGACUACAUGAAGCUGGAAUCGCUAGUAAUCGCGGAUCAGCAUGCCGCGGUGAAUACGUUCCCGGGCCUUGUACACACCGCCCGUCACACCAUGAGAGUCGGGAACACCCGAAGUCCGUAGCCUAACAGCAAUGAGGGCGCGGCCGAAGGUGGGUUCGAUAAUUGGGGUGAAGUCGUAACAAGGUACC